GUCCUUGUAGCUCAUCUGGUUAGAGCGCAAGAUUGUGGCUCUUGAGGUAGCGGGUUCGAUUCCCGUCAAGGACCCCA
rnacentral:tRNA from 1 species